UACGUAGGCAGCAAGCGUUGUUCGGAGUUAUUGGGCGUAAAGGGCUCGUAGGCGGUCUGUCGCGUCGGGAGUGAAAACUCAGGGCUUAACCCUGAGCCUGCUUCCGAUACGGGCAGACUAGAGGUAUGCAGGGGAGAGCGGAAUUCCUGGUGUAGCGGUGGAAUGCGCAGAUAUCAGGAGGAACACCGGUGGCGAAGGCGGUUCUCUGGGCAUUACCUGACGCUGAGGAGCGAAAGUGUGGGGAGCGAACAGG
rnacentral:rRNA from 1 species